GGGCCCGUAGCUCAGCCAGGAUAGAGCGGCGGGCUUUUAACCCGUAGGUCCCGGGUUCAAAUCCCGGCGGGCCCGCCA
rnacentral:tRNA from 2 species